AGCGAACGCUGGCGGCAGGCUUAACACAUGCAAGUCGAACGGGCGUAGCAAUACGUCAGUGGCAGACGGGUGAGUAACGCGUGGGAACGUACCUUUUGGUUCGGAACAACACAGGGAAACUUGUGCUAAUACCGGAUAAGCCCUUACGGGGAAAGAUUUAUCGCCGAAAGAUCGGCCCGCGUCUGAUUAGCUAGUUGGUGAGGUAACGGCUCACCAAGGCGACGAUCGGUAGCUGGUCUGAGAGGAUGAUCAGCCACACUGGGACUGAGACACGGCCCAGACUCCUACGGGAGGCAGCAGUGGGGAAUAUUGGACAAUGGGCGAAAGCCUGAUCCAGCCAUGCCGCGUGAGUGAUGACGGCCUUAGGGUUGUAAAGCUCUUUCGCCAGGGACGAUAAUGACGGUACCUGGAUAAGAAG
rnacentral:rRNA from 1 species